rnacentral:rRNA from 1 species
UAGCACAGGUGCUGCAUGGCCGUCGUCAGCUCGUGCCGUGAGGUGUUGGGUUAAAGUCCCGCAACGAGCGCAACCCCCGCGUUAGUUGCCAGCGGUUCGGCCGGGCACUCUAACGGGACUGCCCCGCGAAAAGCGGGGAGGAAGGAGGGGACGACGUCUGGUCAGCAUGGCCCUUACGGCCUGGGCGACACACGUGCUACAAUGCCCACUACAAAGCGAUGCCACCCGGCAACGGGGAGCUAAUCGCAAAAAGGUGGGCCCAGUUCGGAUUGGGGUCUGCAACCCGACCCCAUGAAGCCGGAAUCGCUAGUAAUCGCGGAUCAGCCAUGCCGCGGUGAAUACGUUCCCGGGCCUU